rnacentral:rRNA from 1 species
CACGUGAGUAACCUGCCCUUAACUCUGGGAUAAGCCUGGGAAACUGGGUCUAAUACCGGAUAUGACUCCUCAUCGCAUGGUGGGGGGUGGAAAGCUUUAUUGUGGUUUUGGAUGGACUCGCGGCCUAUCAGCUUGUUGGUGAGGUAAUGGCUCACCAAGGCGACGACGGGUAGCCGGCCUGAGAGGGUGACCGGCCACACUGGGACUGAGACACGGCCCAGACUCCUACGGGAGGCAGCAGUGGGGAAUAUUGCACAAUGGGCGAAAGCCUGAUGCAGCGACGCCGCGUGAGGGAUGACGGCCUUCGGGUUGUAAACCUCUUUCAGUAGGGAAGAAGCGAAAGUGACGGUACCUGCAGAAGAAGCGCCGGCUAACUACGUGCCAGCAGCCGCGGUAAUACGUAGGGCGCAAGCGUUAUCCGGAAUUAUUGGGCGUAAAGAGCUCGUAGGCGGUUUGUCGCGUCUGCCGUGAAAGUCCGGGGCUCAACUCCGGAUCUGCGGUGGGUACGGGCAGACUAGAGUGAUGUAGGGGAGACUGGAAUUCCUGGUGUAGCGGUGAAAUGCGCAGAUAUCAGGAGGAACACCGAUGGCGAAGGCAGGUCUCUGGGCAUUAACUGACGCUGAGGAGCGAAAGCAUGGGGAGCGAACAGGAUUAGAUACCCUGGUAGUCCAUGCCGUAAACGUUGGGCACUAGGUGUGGGGGACAUUCCACGUUUUCCNCGCCGUAGCUAACGCAUUAAGUGCCCCGCCUGGGGAGUACGGCCGCAAGGCUAAAACUCAAAGGAAUUGACGGGGGCCCGCACAAGCGGCGGAGCAUGCGGAUUAAUUCGAUGCAACGCGAAGAACCUUACCAAGGCUUGACAUGAACCGGAAACACCUGGAAACAGGUGCCCCGCUUGCGGUCGGUUUACAGGUGGUGCAUGGUUGUCGUCAGCUCGUGUCGUGAGAUGUUGGGUUAAGUCCCGCAACGAGCGCAACCCUCGUUCUAUGUUGCCAGCGCGUUAUGGCGGGGACUCAUAGGAGACUGCCGGGGUCAACUCGGAGGAAGGUGGGGACGACGUCAAAUCAUCAUGCCCCUUAUGUCUUGGGCUUCACGCAUGCUACAAAGGCCGGUACAAAGGGUUGCGAUACUGUGAGGUGGACCUAAUCCCCAAAAAGCCGGUCUCAGUUCGGAUUGGGGUCUGCAACUCGACCCCAUGA